GUGUCUCCUUCCUUGAGACUGUUAGGCAUGUCUUACAUAUUGUAACAUAGUUCCUUUUCAAUAGUCUAGGUCCAGCAUCAGUUUAUUGGAGGGUCCCAGCUGAUACAAGAGCACCAUCAGACCUAUCCCUCCAUGAAGCACUGCUGGGGGAAAUCUCGGCAAUAGGACCACCUCAACAAUAUAACCGAUGAGGGGACUGAGGCCCAGAGAAGUGAAGUGACUUACCCA